UGAGGAAUAUUGGUCAAUGGGCGCAAGCCUGAACCAGCCAUGCCGCGUGCAGGAAGAAUGCCCUAUGGGUUGUAAACUGCUUUUAUUUAGGAAUAAACUCUUGUACGUGUACAAGCCUGAAGGUACUAAAUGAAUAAGCACCGGCUAACUCCGUG
rnacentral:rRNA from 1 species